rnacentral:rRNA from 1 species
CCUACGGGCGGCAGCAGUGGGGAAUAUUGGACAAUGGGCGAAAGCCUGAUCCAGCCAUGCCGCGUGUGUGAAGAAGGCCUUCGGGUUGUAAAGCACUUUCAGUGGGGAAGAAAGCCUUGGGGCUAAUACCCUCGAGGAAGGACAUCACCCACAGAAGAAGCACCGGCUAACUCCGUGCCAGCAGCCGCGGUAAUACGGAGGGUGCGAGCGUUAAUCGGAAUUACUGGGCGUAAAGCGCGCGUAGGCGGUCUGAUAAGCCGGUUGUGAAAGCCCCGGGCUCAACCUGGGAACGGCAUCCGGAACUGUCAGGCUAGAGUGCAGGAGAGGAAGGUAGAAUUCCCGGUGUAGCGGUGAAAUGCGUAGAGAUCGGGAGGAAUACCAGUGGCGAAGGCGGCCUUCUGGGCUGACACUGACGCUGAGGUGCGAAAGCGUGGGUAGCAAACAGGAUUAGAUACCCGGGUAGUC